GAUGAAGAACGCAGCGAAAUGCGAUAAGUAGUGUGAAUUGCAGAAUUCAGUGAAUCAUCGAAUCUUUGAACGCACAUUGCGCCCCUUGGUAUUCCAUGGGGCAUGCCUGUUCGAGCGUCAUUUGUACCUUCAAGCUCUGCUUGGUGUUGGGUGUUUGUCUCGCCUCUGCGUGUAGACUCGCCUCAAAACAAUUGGCAGCCGGCGUAUUGAUUUCGGAGCGCAGUACAUCUCGCGCUUUGCACUCAUAACGACGACCUCCAAAAGUACAUUUUUACACUCUUGACCUCGGAUCAGGUAGGGAUACCCGCUGAACUUAAGCAUAUCAAUAAGCGGAGGA
rnacentral:misc_RNA from 1 species